GAAACUGUCUCCAACGCGUUGUUAGUCCUUGCCAAUUAACGACAGGCAGCUGUCCAUUUGGUCUCCAGGAACGUCAGUGGUCUUUUCUCACAUAAAAGAACUCACAAAUGGUUGGUAUAUAUACUUUUUGCUAAUAUUUUUCACCAGCUUCAACAGAUAGUGUCAGAAGUGGGAUGUGAGAGAAGUAACCGUUGAGUUCCAGACGGAUCCUCCACUCCCAUCUCCUUGCGAAGAACUGGACGGACGAUCCACCCAGCCAGCCAGUCGGCUAAGGUAAGAACAAUUUUGUUCCGUUUGGUCGGUGUUAUUGUCCGUUCAGUAAUACGUAAGUAAUUAAUCCUGCCAUAAUAAACUGUCUGAUUAAUUGGAUAUACUCAAUACGAUUUGACAUUUUUAUGCGGAAAUAUUAGCAAGGAGUAUAUUUUCAUUAUUUGUGGUUUUAGAUGGUAGCCAAAAUAAGACAAAAAAAAAAAAAAAAAGGGCACCACCAGAUGGGGUGAAAACACUGUGGGAGGGUCCGGUUUUCAGCUAUAUUGAAGGCGCGGAAAAACCUGGAGUUUCCCAGGUCAGUCUUAUUAAUUAUUAUAUGUCUUGACAUACAGACCCUCCAAAAGUAUUGGAAAGGCAAGGUCAAUUCCUUUGUUUUGUUGUAUACUGAAGACAUUUGGGUUUCAGAUCAAAAGAUGAAUAUGUGACAAAAGUUGAGAAUUCCAGCUUUUCUUUCAUGGUAUUUACAUCAAGAUGUGUUAAAGAACUCAGGACAGCGCAGCUUUUGUUCUCAAGUGAGGAAAAGUAUUGGAAGAGACAUGAUUAAAUUAACUUAGUGAAUAACAUUUAAAUAUUUGGUGGCAUAACCCUUACUUGCAAUAACUGCAUCAAGCCUGCGGCCCAUUGACUUCACCAGACUGUUGCAUUCUUCAUUUGAAAUGCUUUUCCAGGCCUUUACUGCAGCCUCUUUCAGUUCUUGUUUGUUUCUGGGUGUUUCUCCCUUCAGUCUCCUCUACAGGAGGUAAAAUGCAUGCUCUAUUGGGUUAAGGUCCAGUGAUUGACUUGGCCAGUCUAAUGGUUCGUUCCCGUCGGAUACGUUUUGGGCGUUGCAUGCGGCGUGAUUACAUAGAAAGUUAAUGCAGUUCUCGCAGAUAGACGUCAAUCCGUUGCGGGCAGUGUGUAUGAUGCGUUUGAUGCAGCGCGAAAAUCUGUCUCCUUUGCCCGUUCGCUUGAAGCUGGCAGAGCUGCACAACAAACCACAUUCGCAUCGUGACAGCCAAUCAGCAUUGAGAAUGGACUACGUCACAGACCAUGUCCUGUACACUUGUUGAGUAGAGGAAAAUGGAGGUGGUGAUUGUUGCAGUCUGUGGACACCCUGAGCUGUUUGACACGACAUGUUAUGACCGGGACUGCGCAAGAAAGGAGCAGGAUUGGAAAAUCGUGAAGGAAGAAAGCUGGCAUACCUGAUGAACUUUAUCGGACAGAUGAGGUGGAACAGGAGGAGGGUCAAGGAGAACAGGAUGCUGCUGCCUCUUCCCCACCUCAAAGAUUGCCUGGGGGUGCACACACACUUACGGUGCCCCAUUGACUGCUUUUUGGCUGUUAUCGUGCUGCUAACCUCACAUCAGGGCUGUCAAGGCGAAGGGUUCCUCACAUCGGGGUUCCUCAUGUGGCCGCCUCCACCACAUUCCUCU